rnacentral:lncRNA from 1 species
UGAGCUACAGCUGCAACAUGAUGGCCAGUUUGAGAACUUCCAGUUGGCUCUGCAGUUAGACUCCCAACAGCUGAGAUCCCAUGGUUGAAAUCUGGUUUUAUCUUUUGCUCUAGUGCCCUUUCCCCAUUUACAUACAGAAACACUUGGUUGUUAAAAAAUUAUGUCUAGUGAUACGCAUAUGUCAAAAAUCACAUACCCCAUAAAUAUAUAAAAUUAUUAAUUAAAUAUUAAAAGGGUGUGGUUCGGUGACUUGAG